rnacentral:rRNA from 1 species
UACGUAGGGUGCAAGCGUUGUCCGGAAUUAUUGGGCGUAAAGAGCUCGUAGGCGGUUUGUUGCGUCGGCUGUGAAAUCCCGAGGCUCAACCUCGGGUCUGCAGUCGAUACGAGCAAACUAGAGUGUUGCAGGGGAGACUGGGAAUUCCUGGUGUAGCGGUGAAAUGCGCAGAUAUCAGGAGGAACACCGGUGGCGAAGGCGGGUCUCUGGGCCGAUACUGACGCUGGAGGAGCGAAAGCGUGGGGAGCAAACAGG